GUCCUUGUCGUAAACGAUGUGUACUUGAUGUACCUGGGCUCAACCCUAGGUGUGUCGUAGCUAACGCGAUAAGUACACCGCCUGAGGAGUACGCUCGCAAGGGUGAAACUCAAAAGAAUUGACUGGGGCCCCGCACAAGCAGUGGAGCAUGUGGUUUAAUUCGAUGCAAACGCGAAGAACCUUACCUGGGCUCGAAAUGCAGAGGGCGAUACCAGAAAUGGUAUUUUCCGAAAGGACUUCUGUAUAGGUGCUGCAUGGCUGUCGU
rnacentral:rRNA from 1 species